rnacentral:ncRNA from 1 species
AAUAAUCAUCAGGAGAUCCGCAAUGGCGGACACCAACCGAGAGACCAGAAUCCACGGUGGUACAGUAUGAGGGCUUUGCCAAAAUAUAAGAAGUUU